ACCCGCUGAACUUAAGCAUAUCAAUAAGCGGAGGAAAAGAAACCAACAGGGAUUGCCCUAGUAACGGCGAGUGAAGCGGCAACAGCUCAAAUUUGAAAUCUGGCGUCUUUGGCGUCCGAGUUGUAAUUUGCAGAGGGCGCUUUGGCAUUGGCAGCGGUCCAAGUUCCUUGGAACAGGACGUCACAGAGGGUGAGAAUCCCGUACGUGGUCGCUAGCCUUUACCGUGUAAAGCCCCUUCGACGAGUCGAGUUGUUUGGGAAUGCAGCUCUAAAUGGGAGGUAAAUUUCUUCUAAAGCUAAAUACUGGCCAGAGACCGAUAGCGCACAAGUAGAGUGAUCGAAAGAUGAAAAGCACUUUGGAAAGAGAGUUAAAAAGCACGUGAAAUUGUUGAAAGGGAAGCGCUUGCAGCCAGACUUGCCUGUAGUUGCUCAUCCGGGUUUUUACCCGGUGCACUCUUCUAUAGGCAGGCCAGCAUCAGUUUGGGCGGUUGGAUAAAGGUCUCUGUCAUGUACCUCUCUUCGGGGAGAACUUAUAGGGGAGACGACAUGCAACCAGCCCGGACUGAGGUCCGCGCAUCUGCUAGGAUGCCGGCGUAAUGGCUGU
rnacentral:rRNA from 1 species